UACAGAGGUCUCAAGCGUUGUUCGGAUUCAUUGGGCGUAAAGGGUGCGUAGGCGGCGCGGUAAGUCGGGUGUGAAAUCUCGGAGCUUAACUCCGAAACUGCAUUCGAUACUGCCGUGCUUGAGGACUGGAGAGGAGACUGGAAUUUACGGUGUAGCGGUGAAAUGCGUAGAUAUCGUAAGGAAGACCAGUGGCGAAGGCGGGUCUCUGGACAGUUCCUGACGCUGAGGCACGAAAGCGUGGGGAUCAAACAGG
rnacentral:rRNA from 1 species